GACGAACGCUGGCGGCGUGCUUAACACAUGCAAGUCGAACGGUGAUGAUGGAGCUUGCUCUGUUUGAUCAGUGGCGAACGGGUGAGUAACACGUGAGUAACCUGCCCCAGACUCUGGGAUAACCUCGGGAAACCGGGGCUAAUACCGGAUACGCGACUCCACCGCAUGGUGAGGGUUGGGAAAGUUUUUCGGUAUGGGAUUGGCUCGCGGCCUAUCAGCUUGUUGGUGAGGUAGUGGCUCACCAAGGCGACGACGGGUAGCCGGCCAUGAGAGGGCGACCGGCCACACUGGAACUGAGACACGGUCCAGACUCCUACGGGAGGCAGCAGUGGGGAAUAUUGCACAAUGGGCGCAAGCCUGAUGCAGCGACGCCGCGUGGGGGAUGAAGGCCUUCGGGUUGUAAACCCCUUUCAGCAGGGAAGAAGCGAAAGUGACGGUACCUGCAGAAGAAGCGCCGGCUAACUACGUGCCAGCAGCCGCGGUAAAAC
rnacentral:rRNA from 1 species